rnacentral:rRNA from 1 species
UACGGAGGGGGCAAGCGUUGUUCGGAUUUACUGGGCGUAAAGGGCGCGUAGGCGGUCGUGACAAGUCACUUGUGAAAUCUCCGGGGCUUAACUCGGAACGGUCAAGUGAUACUGUCGGACUAGAGUACAGAAGGGGCAACUGGAAUUCUCGGUGUAGCGGUGAAAUGCGUAGAUAUCGAGAGGAACACCUGGCGGCGAAGGCGGGUUGCUGGGCUGAUACUGACGCUGGAGGCGACGGAAAGCCAGGGGAGCAAACGGG